UACGUAGGGGGGCAAGCGUUUGUCCGGAAUUAUUGGGCGUAAAGCGCGCGCAGGUGGUUUCUUAAGUCUGAUGUGAAAGCCCACGGCUCAACCGUGGAGGGUCAUUGGAAACUGGGGAACUUGAGUGCAGGAGAGAAGAGUGGAAUUCCACGUGUAGCGGUGAAAUGCGUAGAGAUCAGGAGGAACACCAAUGGCGAAAGCAGGUGACUGGACACGUAUUGACACUGAGCCACGAAAGCUAGGGGAGCAAACAGG
rnacentral:rRNA from 1 species